CCUACGGGAGGCAGCAGUGAGGAAUAUUGGUCAAUGGACGAGAGUCUGAACCAGCCAAGUAGCGUGAAGGAUGACUGCCCUAUGGGUUGUAAACUUCUUUUAUAUGGGAAUAAAAUGUUCCACGUGUGGGAUUUUGUAUGUACCAUAUGAAUAAGGAUCGGCUAACUCCGUGCCAGCAGCCGCGGUAAUACGGAGGAUCCGAGCGUUAUCCGGAUUUAUUGGGUUUAAAGGGAGCGUAGGUGGAUUGUUAAGUCAGUUGUGAAAGUUUGCGGCUCAACCGUAAAAUUGCAGUUGAAACUGGCAGUCUUGAGUACAGUAGAGGUAGGCGGAAUUCGUGGUGUAGCGGUGAAAUGCUUAGCUAUCACGAAGAACUCCGAUUGCGAAGGCAGUUCACUGGACUGCAACUGACACUGAGGCUCGAAAGUGUGGGUAUCAAACAGGAUUAGAUACCCGUGUAGUC
rnacentral:rRNA from 1 species